rnacentral:rRNA from 1 species
AUGAACGCUAGCUACAGGCUUAACACAUGCAAGUCGAGGGGCAGCAUGAACUUAGCUUGCUAAGUUUGAUGGCGACCGGCGCACGGGUGAGUAACACGUAUCCAACCUGCCGAUGACUCGGGGAUAGCCUUUCGAAAGAAAGAUUAAUACCCGAUGGCAUAGUUCUUCCGCAUGGUAGAACUAUUAAAGAAUUUCGGUCAUCGAUGGGGAUGCGUUCCAUUAGGUUGUUGGCGGGGUAACGGCCCACCAAGCCUUCGAUGGAUAGGGGUUCUGAGAGGAAGGUCCCCCACAUUGGAACUGAGACACGGUCCAAACUCCUACGGGAGGCAGCAGUGAGGAAUAUUGGUCAAUGGACGAGAGUCUGAACCAGCCAAGUAGCGUGAAGGAUGACUGCCCUAUGGGUUGUAAACUUCUUUUAUACGGGAAUAAAGUGAGGCACGUGUGCCUUUUUGUAUGUACCGUAUGAAUAAGGAUCGGCUAACUCCGUGCCAGCAGCCGCGGUAAUACGGAGGAUCCGAGCGUUAUCCGGAUUUAUUGGGUUUAAAGGGAGCGUAGGCGGACGCUUAAGUCAGUUGUGAAAGUUUGCGGCUCAACCGUAAAAUUGCAGUUGAUACUGGGUGUCUUGAGUACAGUAGAGGCAGGCGGAAUUCGUGGUGUAGCGGUGAAAUGCUUAGAUAUCACGAAGAACUCCGAUUGCGAAGGCAGCUUGCUGGACUGUAACUGACGCUGAUGCUCGAAAGUGUGGGUAUCAAACAGGAUUAGAUACCCUGGUAGUCCACACAGUAAACGAUGAAUACUCGCUGUUUGCGAUAUACAGUAAGCGGCCAAGCGAAAGCGUUAAGUAUUCCACCUGGGGAGUACGCCGGCAACGGUGAAACUCAAAGGAAUUGACGGGGGCCCGCACAAGCGGUGGAGUAUGUGGUUUAAUUCGAAGCAACGCGAAGAACCUUACCAGGGCUUGACAUAUAGAUGAAUAUAUAAGAGAUUAUAUAGCUCUUCGGAGCAUCUAUACAGGUGGUGCAUGGUUGUCGUCAGCUCGUGUCGUGAGAUGUUGGGUUAAGUCCCGCAACGAGCGCAACCCUUAUCCUCAGUAGCCAGCAGUAAGAUGGGCACUCUGAGGAGACUGCCAGGGAUAACCUGGAGGAAGGUGGGGAUGACGUCAAAUCAGCACGGCCCUUACGUCCGGGGCUACACACGUGUUACAAUGGGGGGUACAGAAGGCAGCUACACGGCGACGUGAUGCUAAUCCCGAAAGCCUCUCUCAGUUCGGAUUGGAGUCUGCAACCCGACUCCAUGAAGCUGGAUUCGCUAGUAAUCGCGCAUCAGCCACGGCGCGGUGAAUACGUUCCCGGGCCUUGUACACACCGCCCGUCAAGCCAUGAAAGCCGGGGGUACCUGAAGUGCGUAACCGCAAGGAGCGCCCUAGGGUAAAACUGGUGAUUGGGGCU